CCUACGGGGGCAGCAGUGGGGAAUAAUGCACAAUGGGGGGAACCCUGAUGCUGCGACGCCGCGUGAGCGAUGAAGUAUUUCGGUAUGUAAAGCUCUAUCAGCAGGGAAGAAAAUGACGGUACCUGACUAAGAAGCCCAGGCUAACUACGUGCAAGCAGCCGCGGGAAUACGGAGGGGGCAAGCGUUAUCCGGAUUUACUGGGUGUAAAGGGAGCGUAGACGGGGGUGCAAGCCAGAUGUGAAAGCCUGGGGCUCAACCCCGGGACUGCAUUUGGAACUGUGCUGCUAGAGUGUCGGAGAGGCAGGCGGAAUUCCUAGUGUAGCGGUGAAAUGCGUAGAUAUUAGGAGGAACACCAGUGGCGAAGGCAGCCUGCUGGACGAUGACUGACGUUGAGGCUCGAAAGCGUGGGGAGCAAACAGGAUUAGAUACCCUUGUAGUC
rnacentral:rRNA from 1 species